UACGGAGGGGGCUAGCGUUGUUCGGAAUUACUGGGCGUAAAGCGCGCGUAGGCGGUUUUGUAAGUUAGAGGUGAAAGCCCAGGGCUUAACCCUGGAAUUGCCUUUAAGACUGCAUCGCUAGAAUUGUGGAGAGGUAAGUGGAAUUCCGAGUGUAGAGGUGAAAUUCGUAGAUAUUCGGAAGAACACCAGUGGCGAAGGCGACUUACUGGACACAUAUUGACGCUGAGGUGCGAAAGCGUGGGGAGCAAACAGG
rnacentral:rRNA from 1 species